UACGAAGGGGGCUAGCGUUGCUCGGAAUCACUGGGCGUAAAGCGCACGUAGGCGGCUUUUUAAGUCAGGGGUGAAAUCCUGGAGCUCAACUCCAGAACUGCCUUUGAUACUGAGAGCUUGAGUCCGGGAGAGGUGAGUGGAACUGCGAGUGUAGAGGUGAAAUUCGUAGAUAUUCGCAAGAACACCAGUGGCGAAGGCGGCUCACUGGCCCGAUACUGACGCUGAGGCACGAAAGCGUGGGGAGCAAACAGG
rnacentral:rRNA from 1 species